CCUACGGGAGGCAGCAGUGGGGAAUAUUGCGCAAUGGGCGAAAGCCUGACGCAGCGACGCCGCGUGAGGGAUGAAGGUCUUCGGAUCGUAAACCGCUGUCAGCAGGGAAGAACGGUCACUGUGCUAAUCAGCAGUGAAUUGACGGUACCUGCAAAGGAAGCACCGGCUAACUCCGUGCCAGCAGCCGCGGUAAUACGGAGGGUGCGAGCGUUAAUCGGAAUUACUGGGCGUAAAGCGUGCGUAGGCGGUAUGUCAAGUCAAGGGUGAAAGCCCCGCGCUCAACGUGGGAACUGCCUUUGAAACUUGCAAACUUGAUGGUGUUAGAGGAUAGUGGAAUUCCAGGUGUAGGAGGGAAAUCCGUAGAUAUCUGGAGGAACAUCAGUGGCGAAGGCGACUAUCUGGCACAUAACUGACGCUGAGGAGCGAAAGCGUGGGUAGCAAACAGGAUUAGAUACCCUUGUAGUC
rnacentral:rRNA from 1 species